CCUGAGCUGAGCUGCAAGCUCUGAAGCUCUAGUGUGGGGCUAGGAGUGCAGACUUUGGAGCCAGGCUGACAAGGUUUGAAUCCCAACUUCCCAGCUGUGCGACCUUGGAUAGAGUCACUAAUCUCCUAGUCUCCUAGUCACCUUCUCUGUAAGAUGAGUAACAGCAGCAUCUGCCUCAUAGAGUCUGCCUGUCACCUGGUUAUAUCUAUUCCAGUUACGCAUUCUGGGACUGGGGACACAACCACACUUGGCCAAGUGUGAGGCAGACCUGACCUAAAUGAGUCAUCUGACCUCUAGGAGCCCCUACUCUGCCACGUGGAUCACAGAGACAUUUGGGGUCUCCAGGAAUUAGUGAUAGAACAGAGCCAGAAGAGUCAGAGGUCCCUCUGGGGAAGGUGGGAGAAGGAUUUCCAGUAGAAGUUUUUUCAAGGAGGGCAGUUCCCCCCUAGAGGGGAAACCCCGUCUGUCUCCCCAGAUGUCUGGUUGGUAAACUGGACCAAGUUUAGGAACUGACGGAGAGGCUGUGUCUCUAUUUGGAUGGUUCAAGUUGGACUCUGUUUAUUUUCCCGGGGACUCACUGAAUUGCUUAGUGCCUUGCUUUUGCUGAGGCUGGCUCUGAACUUGCCAUCCUCCUGCCUCACCUCCUGAGCCUCUAGAUUUCAGGUGUGCACCAUCAUGCCCAGUGACUGUGUUCAUUUGACUUAAGAUCCUUCCAUUUCCUCUUACGCGCAGAUCAAAUAGGAAUCUAGCAAGCUGCAGAGGAUUUCUUCUCUAGGGACACUAUCAUCAACCAGCCAGUAUUAGACUCUCGGCAUUUAAACAGGAUUUUAGUAGGUUGAGAUGUGUGUGUGUGUGUGUGUGUGUGUGUGUGUGUUUGUGAGAGAGAGAGAGAGAGAGAGCGCAAGCUCAGAUAGGCUUGGGUCAUGAUCCUUCCUCUGGACGCCCCAGUGCCUCUCCACGGGUGUGCACUCAGGAAAUCGGGGAUCUGCUGGACCCCUGCUCUCAGUGUGGUUGGAGUCCCCUCUAGAUAUACAUGGUCACUCUGGUUUGGACACGACUGGGACCUGGGGCACCCAACAUGGCCUCUCCACAUGGAAACAAGAGCACUUCUGGGAAAGAAUUUUACCGGAAGGUAAAAGAGAGGCCAAACAUGCAAGGCUGCUUUGAGGCCCUGGACGCCGGCCAGAAGGGAGCUUUGAGGUUAAUGAGCACAGAGCGGAGCGGCCUGGGUCACCCUGGACUAUCUCCACAAGCCUUAGUAAUCUGUUGCUAAGUACUAAAUGUUGUUUUUAUUAAGUUUAUAAGGACUUCUAGGCACGUGGAGUUGAGUAGAUGUAACUUUUGGGGUUUAGCAAAUGGUCUUUGGGAGUUUUUGCAAGACUUCUUCCUUCCUUCCUUCCCUUCUUUCUUGGUACUGAGGAUUGUUCUCAGGGGCGCUCUAUCAAUAAACUACAUCCCCAGCCCGUUUCAUUUUUUACCUUGAAACAGGGUCUCUCUAAAUUGCUGAGGCUGACCUCCAACUUGUGAUCCUCCUGCCUCAGCCUCCCUGGUCUCUGUGAUCACAGUUGUGCACCACCGCGCCAAGAGAGUGUUGUCCCUUCUAAUCUGUGAUGGGUGUGAAGCUGUAUCUCGCUGUUUUAUCACUGUGAGCCUCGUGGCUGGCUUUCCUGCCGCAUCAUAAGUCGGUGAGGCAGCAGCCCUGCAUGGAAGACCCAGGGCCCCGGGUCUGCCUCGUUUCAAACUUCUCUUCCACCUCCCAGUGGCUGGCCGGGUCCUGAGCUCAGGCUUGACUCCUGGGGAAGGAAUCUCCACCACAAGCAAACACAGCCAGAGUGGCUCAGCUAGACUCAGAAGGAAGCCGCUGGCCAAGAGGAGAGUCCCAGGGGCCUCCCAGGAGCAGCUGGAGGGAAUGAGAAGAGGUGGCCAUUCCCACAGAACCCUUUGGCUGCAGAGACUGGCGUCUGUGCUCAUCCCAAAGCCCCGACUCUACAGAGGUCAGGGAGCCCGGCAGGACUGUCAAGGGCUGGACUGUCAAGGAGCACGUGGCAGCUGCUGUCAGAGAGUCAGACUAAACAGGCCUUCCUUGGGUAUAUUAUUAUUAUUAUUAUUAUUAUUAUUACUUUUUUAACUGGGGACAAGGCAGAAGCCACAUCCCCUGGAACUAUUCUAAACAAAGGUCUCCUCGUGGGCUGCAGUAGAACCGGCUUCCAGGUCAAGGCUUUUCUGUUGGAAGUUUCAGUUUCUGCAUCUGUGAAGUGGGGUCUGUAACAGUGCCUCCCUCACAGAACCUGAACUCAUCUGUGGAAAUGCUUAGGAUGCCACCCAGCAUGCGGGAACUCUAGACAGGAGCAGCCCUGGCCGGCGCUGAGGAAGUGGGCAGCAGUGCGAGGCCUCUGGCCCACACCAGCAGGAACCGAGACUCUCAGUCGGACAGCAGCAGGGAGCCUGUGAGCCGAGGGGGAUCCUCCCUGUUGAGCCUCAGAGGAGCCUGCCCCGGGCAGGUGGAUCACUGCCCAGUGAGGCCUUAAAGCAGAGCUCCCACUCCGCUGUGUGAACACCUUUCCUGGCCCACAGAAACUGUGAGGUAAUAAAUGUAUGUUGUUUUAAGCCA